rnacentral:rRNA from 1 species
GUGUCAGCCGCCGCGGUAAUACGGAGGGUGCAAGCGUUGUUCGGAAUUAUUGGGCGUAAAGGGCGUGUAGGUGGCUGUCCAAGUCUGGUGUGAAAGCCCACGGCUCAACCGUGGAACUGCAUUGGAAACUGGAUAGCUCGAGUAUUGGAGGGGGUCGCGGAAUUCCCGGUGUAGAGGUGAAAUUCGUAGAUAUCGGGAGGAACACCAGUGGCGAAGGCGGCGACCUGGCCAUUUACUGACACUGAGACGCGAAAGCGUGGGGAGCAAACAGGAUUAGAAACCCGCGUAGUCC